rnacentral:rRNA from 1 species
CAGCAGCCGGGUAAAACGGAGGGUGCAAGCGUUAAUCGGAAUUACUGGGCGUAAAGCGCACGCAGGCGGUCUGACAAGUCAGAUGUGAAAUCCCCGGGCUUAACCUGGGAACUGCAUUUGAAACUGUCAGGCUGGAGUCUUGUAGAGGGGGGUGGAAUUCCAGGUGUAGCGGUGAAAUGCGUAGAGAUCUGGAGGAAUACCGGUGGCGAAGGCGGCCCCCUGGACAAAGACUGACGCUCAGGUGCGAAAGCGUGGGGAGCAAACAGGAUUAGAUACCCCUGUAGUCCCUGUCUCUUAUACC